AAAGCAGAUCAAAGUGAUCGCCCUGAUGUGUUUAUCAUCGGGGAGGAAAGUCCGAGCUCCAAAGGGUAAUGCAUCCCGGUAAUGCGGGACGUUAUUAGAGAUCAGUGGUCACUCUUAGUGUUCAGAAUUAUUUCUGAUCAUUGAUUCAGAUUGCUGAAAACUAAUAAAAGGAUCAGAGCCACAGUGACGAUACUUGUCAGGGGAAACCUUUACAAGGGUGAAACGAGCAAUCUCUGCAUGGAGCAAUGCCAAAUAGGAAGAGAGGCAGACGUCAAAGUCUGCGCGAAGUGAUCCGCUUCGAUAUAUCUUCGGGUAGGCUGCAAGAGUUUCCGGAGCAAUCUGGAAAGUCAGUCAAAUGAUCACUCCGACGAAAGUCGGGACAGAACUCGGCUUAUUGAUCUGUUUUUAAA
rnacentral:RNase_P_RNA from 1 species